rnacentral:ncRNA from 1 species
AAAUUUGUUGCCGAUUAUGGUUUUUAUUUAUGCUUCUGUAUAAAUAAAUUAAAAGGGAAUUCGGUUAGAAACCGAAGCUGUACCCGCAACUGUAAGCUUUGUCGAAUUUUUUCGAUGGUUGUUAUUAAACUUUAUAACCACUGUUCAGUUUUUUUGAAUGGGAAGGUGAAUAACAAUACGCAAGCCAGGAGACCUGCCAAAAUCAUUUUAAUUAA